rnacentral:rRNA from 1 species
GACGAACGCUGGCGGCGUGCCUAAUACAUGCAAGUCGAGCGCAGGAAAUCGACGGAACCCUUCGGGGGGAAGUCGACGGAAUGAGCGGCGGACGGGUGAGUAACACGUAAAGAACCUGCCCCCAGGUCUGGGAUAACCACGAGAAAUCGGGGCUAAUACCGGAUGGGUCAUCGGACCGCAUGGUCCGAGGAUGAAAGGCGCUCCGGCGUCGCCUGGGGAUGGCUUUGCGGUGCAUUAGCUAGUUGGUGGGGUAAUGGCCCACCAAGGCCACGGUGCAUAGCCGACCUGAGGGGGUGAUCGGCCACACUGGGACUGAGACACGGCCCAGACUCCUACGGGAGGCAGCAGUAGGGAAUCUUCCACAAUGGACGAAAGUCUGAUGGAGCAACGCCGCGUGAACGAUGAAGGCCUUCGGGUCGUAAAGUUCUGUUGUAAGGGAAGAACAAGUGCCGCAGGCAAUGGCGGCACCUUGACGGUACCUUGCGAGAAAGCCACGGCUAACUACGUGCCAGCCGCCGCGGUAAAAC